rnacentral:rRNA from 1 species
AGAGUUUGAUCCUGGCUCAGAUUGAACGCUGAUGCUUUACACAUGCAAGUCGAACGGUAACAGGGUGCUUGCACCGCUGACGAGUGGCGAACGGGUGAGUAAUGCGUCGGAACGUGCCGAGUAAUGGGGGAUAACGCAUCGAAAGGUGUGCUAAUACCGCAUACGCUCUGAGGAGGAAAGCUGGGGAUCGAAGACCUGGCGUUAUUCGAGCGGCCGACGUCUAAUUAGCUAGUUGGUGAGGUAAAGGCUCACCAAGGCGACGAUCAGUAGCGGGUCUGAGAGGAUGAUCCGCCACACUGGGACUGCUCACCAAGGCGACGAUCAGUAGCGGGUCUGAGAGGAUGAUCCGCCACACUGGGACUGCUCACCAAGGCGACGAUCAGUAGCGGGUCUGAGAGGAUGAUCCGCCACACUGGGACUGAACACGGCCCAGACUCCUACGGGAGGCAGCAGUGGGGAAUUUUGGACAAUGGGGGCAACCCUGAUCCAGCCAUGCCGCGUGUCUGAAGAAGGCCUUCGGGUUGUAAAGGACUUUUGUUAGGGAGCAAGUCCUGCAGGUUAAGAGCUAGUAGGGAUGAGAGUACCUAAAGAAUAAGCACCGGCUAACUACGUGCCAGCAGCCGCGGUAAUACGUAGGGUGCAAGCGUUAAUCGGAAUUACUGGGCGUAAAGGGUGCGCAGGCGGUAUUGUAAGCCAGAUGUGAAAUCCCCGGGCUCAACCUGGGAACUGCGUUUGGAACUGCAAUGCUAGAGUGUGUCAGAGGGGGGUGGAAUUCCACGUGUAGCAGUGAAAUGCGUAGAGAUGUGGAGGAACACCGAUGGCGAAGGCAGCCCCCUGGGAUAACACUGACGCUCAGGCACGAAAGCGUGGGGAGCAAACAGGAUUAGAUACCCUGGUAGUCCACGCCCUAAACGAUGACAACUAGCCGUUGGGAACCUCGGUUCUUGGUGGCGUAGCUAACGCGAGAAGUUGUCCGCCUGGGGAGUACGGUCGCAAGAUUAAAACUCAAAGGAAUUGACGGGGGCCCGCACAGCGUGGAUGAUGUGAUAGUCGAUGCACGCGAAAA